rnacentral:misc_RNA from 1 species
ACGGCAGGGUCCAUCGACGCCUGCCCUUGCGUUGCCAUCGGAUCUUCUAAAUCACCUCCUUCUCUACCUAAGAGCCCGAUUCCUCCAAACAAAAAACCCUAGAAAUCAAAAUGGCUAAAAAGUUCUUGACGAUUAUUUGGUCUUGGAGUCGUUAUUGGUAUGCCUUUUUUCAGUUUCGUGCCUUGGUGUGCUGUGCGCGUUCAAAAAACUCUCGCUUGUCGGGUGGGGCAGGGGGACAAUAAAAAUAAAAAUUAAAAUAAAUAAAUAAAAGAUGAAGGUAUUUUCUCGGGAAAAAGAGUGGGAAAGAGGAAGAAAAUAAUAAUUUAAAGAUUUC